rnacentral:rRNA from 1 species
GACGAACGCUGGCGGCGUGCUUAACACAUGCAAGUCGAACGCUGAAGCACCUUCGGGUGUGGAUGAGUGGCGAACGGGUGAGUAACACGUGGGUAACCUGCCCUGCACUUUGGGAUAAGCCUUGGAAACGGGGUCUAAUACCGGAUAGGACCGCAUCUCGCAUGGGGUGUGGUGGAAAGUGUUUAGUGGUGUGGGAUGGGCCCGCGGCCUAUCAGUUUGAUGGUGGGGUGAUGGCCUACCAUGGCGAUGACGGGUAGCCGGCCUGAGAGGGCGACCGGUCACACUGGGACUGAGAUAUGGCCCAG